CCCGCCGGCGACCGGCGCACGGGGGAGUAACACGUAUGAAACCUGCCCGUAGCAGGGGGAUAAGCGGAAGAAAUUCCGUCUAAUACCGCGUAACAACCCAUGGAGGCAUCUCUGUGGGUUUAAAGGAAGCGAUUCCGGCUACGGAUGGUCAUGCGUCGCAUUAGCUUGUUGGCGGGGUAACGGCCCACCGAGGCGACGAUGCGUAGGGGUUCUGAGAGGAAGGUCCCCCACACUGGUACUGAGACACGGACCAGACUCCUACGGAAGGCAGCAG
rnacentral:rRNA from 1 species